AUUAACUACAAAAGAAAAGAGAAAGAGGGAGAGAGAGAGGAGGGGCGAGUGAGAGGGCACCAACAACACGGGUUGGAUUAGCUUUCUAGAACCUUUAAACAAACAAACCACGCUUUUGUUCUCUCCGAUAAUACGUUGGACAAUUUGUAACGUAAGAAAUGCCUUCCUGUGCUUUUUCUGUUCUCCUGGACGGUAAUAUUUUGUGCUACGGAUGUGUUUGUGAAGGGAACUUUAAAAAAUCGUGGCAGAAAUUGAGCUGGGCCCUAGGGCAGGAUCUAAGUAUGUUCAGGCUCUCUGCUGACUACCACACUCCUUCCGUUAUUACAGCAUCUGGAAAAUACCUACUACGAGACUAAACCAUAGUUGACCCACAAAGCAUUCAGUUCUCAAAAGAGACUUUUCAAAAGAGAGUAGAUGGAGAUACCACUGAGAGUAGCCAUCAGUGUAGACGACAUCUCUCUCAGCACAACCAGAAAUUCUGGCCUUACCCCUCCCCCUGCCCCUGCCACCCAUGCUAGGGAAGUGUCUUCUGUCUGAGGGGCUCUGGAAAAUUCGGUCACCCCCUCCCCCUGAAGGGAACCAGGAAUGUAAUGCCAGCCCCUGACAUCAAGAAGCUGGUUCUCUUCUCCCAUCUCGGCCUCCUUAUCCAGGGCCCCUGUCUCUGUAAGCAAGGCAGGAAGGUCUUAGAAUGGGGAUCUGGCAAAAAAGAAAAAAAAAAAAACUUUCUUGGUAAAAAGUUGCUCUCUGCAGCAGCCCAGAUCCAAGGCAGGGGGUGUGCACAAACCCGAGGGCUGUGUGCGCCCUCGCCUGUGCAGUGGGAUGGGUCAACUGGUCCCAGGGGCAGGAGGAGAGGGGAGAGGAGGGAGACCCUUGUUGGGUGCCUUCGAAGGUACUUAAUCUCCCCUCCCCUGCCUCCUCCCGCAGUCCUCUUCGUGGGUUUCGUCUUUGAUUACCUUACUGUAAUCCUCCCUGCUUAUUUUCUGUUUCUGUUGAGAUUUGCUCCAAGCCCCCCAACCCCACGCUCAAGCGGAGCCCUCCUAGGUCCAGCAUGCUUUUCCCAGAAGACCCCUGCGUGGACGAGUCUGCAAGCCCCAGGGAAAGCGCAAAACUUUCCCAAAAAAGCCAACUGCCCUUGAGCUGGAAAAGGCACGCUUGACCUUGGGCUCCCUCACUCCACUGGUAGCGGCGUGACUCUACCUCUCUGUGCCUCGGUUUUCCCCUCUGGUAAGCGGAACCCACGACGUGUACGGCUUAGUCCCCGGUAGGCCCUGAGGCCCAUGCCUGCUCCUGGCGCCCGCCUGGCAAAUGGUGUUCCGUAGCGGCUGGCUCCACUCCCCACACCCCCAGGCUUGGGGUCAGACUCUGAAUGAGCGCUUCGCCUUGGUGGGCUUCGUUUUGUGCUAGAAACUAUUGAGGCACUGCUCCCUGUUCUUCAGGUAUGUGCUGAAAGCACGUGCGAGGUGGGAGUUCGGGUUAGCAUCCCUUCUCUGUUGCCUCCUUACUUGAAUUUGCCUCAGUCUCCCCAUCUGUAAAUCGGGUCUAAAAAUGUCACCUCCCUUCUAGGGUCCUAGAGGAGCUUGGAUAAGAUCAUGCAAGCGAUGGACUUAUCACAGUGCCCCGUGUCUGGCAGGUGUUCACAGCAUGGGGCACAUUAGGUAUGAGAUGUUAUACCUACAGAGGUACACGUGCAUAGUAUUAGCACAGCAAAGCGUGGCCGCGGAUCCAUUAAUAGCUCAGAGGAUGAAUUCACAUUCAGCAAACCAACGUUGUUGACCGGGCACUUACUGUAUACCAGGUACUGGCUGAGCUGACUCCCAGGGGCCCUAAAGCAGGAACCCAGCCCACCCUUCUGUGAACCCUGCCCGGGCCUGGUAAGCUGAGAGCCCUUUGUGAGGCAGGCAGGGAGCCACAGGGGGAGCAGAAUGCCAGGGGGAGGGAGGUGGGGUCAGUGCAGCUUCAUGGGAAGCUUUUCAAAGCCCGGAUUCUGAAGGGCUUCCUGUUUUCUCAAUCUAGGAAACCAGAAGAGUCGAUCCUUAAUGGAAACUUUCCACAGCCUCGGCUUUCUAAAAAUAUCUGCACAGCUGCUCAGAGGUGCACGUAGAAAACCACAUGGAUAUACACGGGCUUUGCCGAAUCUCCUCUCGAGACCCAUGCUUGGGGCAAGGAGGCUGGACCAGGAAGCCCGUGACGUGCGCUCUGGGUGAUUCUGUCCCAACUGCUGUGAGGUAAAGCUGCUGGGACAGCUGAGGAAUGUCCAGGCCACUGUGUGUGCUGAUGGGCGUGGCAGCUGGCAGUGAAUUUGGGUGUGUUUUCAGAACAGCUGGCAGAACGGCUGCUCAGAGGUGCAUAUAGAAGACCACAUGGACAUACACCGUGGGUGUGGUUUCAAAGUCCGCGUGAUGCCGCCAUGAACUUCUGGGCCUGGCCUGGAUGGAAUGAACCUACUUUAUCUGACCGGGGGACCCUUCAAAAGCCACAGCCCGAUGAGCCAGGGAGAUGUCAGGAGGCACGUAACCAACAACACGGCCGGCUGACUUCUGGUGAGUGUACUUCGUGUGCUGAAUCGAAUCGGCAUGUGCACAGCAUUCGGUCACAGCAACAGCAUCUAAACAGCCGAGGCACAGAAAGAGAGUCUUACUUAACUGGAUGCACCAAGCAACAUGUACAAAACCAAAAAGGAGCUGGUCCAGUGCAGGAGCAGAACUCUCAGAGACAAAAUAGCCCUGCCUCCUGCAGGCCACGGAGCUGCGAAUCAGGGCCGACUGAAGAGAGAAAAACGUAUACGCUAGCUUCUGCAGCAGAGAACGUCAGAAUUACACGAGGAAUCGAUUCAAACGUAACCCUCCUUCAGCCUUUUCUCCAUGCUAAAUUUGACCCGUUUCCUUCUUACAAGUGAUAGAACCUCAGAGCGCAUGCAAAUUCAUAAGACUGCACAUUUUCUUCCUGGUUUUUUUUUUUUUUUUUUUUUGGUUGACAGUGAAAAAAAGUUCCUAUUUUUAUAGCUCCUGCCCAGUCAGCACACGGAGGGCCCUUAAAAGGGGGUGGUGAUGAGUGUACAUUACAAGCAAUAAACUCCCCCUCUACAGCA